rnacentral:tRNA from 1 species
GGGGUUGGUUUUUUAUAGGCAAAAAGCCUGACUGUGGCUCAGGAGGUCGUGGAUUCGAAACCCAUCAGCCACCC